GUCGCCUGAGAGUUAAAUUUGAAAAAAAUUUAUCCCUUGAAAAAUUAAAAAUAUCUCCGCUUAUGCAUUGUCACACAGAAUAACAAAAAUGGAAUUCAACAAUUAACGUUUAACUCAAGACAUGCUUCUCACAAUUUUCAAUUGUUGAUUUGUAUUUGCCGAAUGCAGGUGCCACCAACAAAAAAAACUACAAAGGGACUCGAAAUUAAGUUGUGUCUCAUGUGCAGCUGACGUAGCGCUAUGAGAGUGUAUAUAUGUAUUUGUAUACAAGUAUAUGAACACACAUAUUUGAUUCGGAAGAUGACGGCUCGAGCAAAAGAAAAAUUAACAUACAUACGAGUAGUUGGUUUUUAUAAAAGGUCCAUGUUUUAAGUUAUUGAAACUUCAAUAUAUAUAAAAACUUACGCACAGAUAUCUUAUAUUUCCAAUGAAUGCUUGUUUACAUAUGGAUGUGUGAGUGAGAGCAUUCGUCCAACCGAGAAAAUGAAACGUAAAACAGUCAAACAUCAGACCCUCAAUAACGAGUUCCCAACGCUUGCGACAGCUCACUGAACUCCGUGGGCUCAUGCUGCGUCGAUAAUUAAAAGUAAUAAAUAACUUUAAUGGCAGCCGCGAUGUAAAUUGUCUGUAACAUAUUUCAUUGGCUUAGAAUGUUUACAUUUGAACGUAUACUAAAGUCUCCAUUUUCAAUUUGAUAUAAAAUUGAACACGGGUGUGGAAUGGAGAAACGGUUACGAGGAGAUGUUAACAAUAUUGAAUUUUAAGACAAACGAUAAAAGCCGAUUUCGAGUAUAAAAAGUAUUCUCCUAACUUCAUCCCACUUAACCACAUCCUUAAAGCACUUAAAAUGAAUUAACAUAGAUGAAAAAUUCUAUAUUUUGA